rnacentral:lncRNA from 1 species
ACAGAUGGACAAGGCCAGGGGCAACAAGAGAGAGAUAAGCUGCUGAUAAUGGCCGGGAAACAGUCUUUUUGUGUGGACUUAUCUCGAGGAAAAUGGCCAUCUCAGGUGGUAUGCACAUGAGUCUUACUCAAGCACCCAGGAAUGUCAUGUAGGCAGCAGAAAAUGGAGGAUAAAAGAGGGUCCAACAACCACGGCUAUGUGGAGGCUGAUCUCUCACUGCAACACGGAGUCUGAUCUCUCAUGAUCUCUCACCAUGACACGAGCUUCCUGCCUUCAGAUCCUUCUCUACGGACCGUUUGCUGACGGACUUCCCUGGGCCUGCUACCUGAGACCUGUUGCUUCCUCCCUGACCUGCACCCUCUCGUUGCCCAAGACCGGCCUCACUGCUCCUGCCCUUCGGCCUCAGACCGUCGGAACGUCGUGCAACGGGACUACUGCCGGGUCCUGGUGGCCUUCAGGAAAAGAAAUUACAAGAAUCAAGUCUGACCACUGUUUAUCAAAACUUCUAAGUCAUAGUUUCUUUCCCAGUACCCUAUGACUCAGGUUAUAUAUAUAUAUUCUAUGCUGAAGGAUGUUAACCUUUAAUCAAUCUGUUUUUUGAACACAUACAAGAAUACCUUGCAUUAUUUUCCUUUCACUUGUUUUGAAGAACCUCUUGCCUUUCCUCUUUCACCUCUUUGAUCUAAUGUGAUUUCUAGCACAGUUCUUAAACUCAAUAACUCAGCAUUAGAUUACUUAUACUUUUUCAUCCUUUCUUUAUCCUAGGUUUGUUGUUGUUGUUGUAGUUGUUUGUUUUGUUUUUGCUAGACUCCACACAUGCACUGCAGAAUGGUUUUGGUGCACCUGCAUUUUGAAACAACAUUGUAUAUCUUUGCAAACUUUGUGGAAGUGUAUGAUUGGGAUUCUGGAGAUAAAAUCAUCAGCGAUUCUAGCUUGGGGCCAAACAUGAUUCUAAAAAACAACUCUGGCUUGAUGAUGGAUAUAUGGUACUGAUGUCCAAAAUGAAAUAAACUAUACUAUGCAUAUAAUGUGCAUAUUAGUUUAUUACCCUCUAUUAUUCAAACAUUUCUAACUAUCCUGCAAAAGGCUGGUACUGAAGUUUAUUAUGUGACAGAAAACCUACAACUGUCUUGACAGUAGAAAAAAAAGAAUGAAUCUGCCUCUAAUUAGGCAUCAGUAACAAAACUUAAGCUUAGGAGGUACGUUGUCUAAUUACUUCUAAGUAUAAAUAAGAGAGUUUUGCACAUGAACAUAUUUAAGUGUGCCUUUUAAUCAAUGAAAAUCAGAUAUAGUCCUAAGAGUGUUUGUAUCCUUAUGAGACAUAGGAGAGACACGCAUAAUAUCUGAAGAACUGUAUAAGAAUUCAAUAUUAUUUAGUGCUGUCACUGCAUCUCCCAGAGAAAACUGGGAGAUUUUGUUUUACUCUACAGUGAAGAAGUAGAGAGGAUGAAAUGUUCAAAAUGCCAUCAGAGAGAAAAGUGACACUAAGAACUAAGGGCCAGUUGUGAUGAAGAUGUUGAUACAAUCAACCGCAAUAUAUGUUUGAGAGAAAAUUAAAUGAUAAACAAAUACAGGGUUUCAGAAUGUUAGUGAAGGAAAAAAGAGCUAACUGUCAAAAAAUUCCCAAUUUUAAUUUCCAAUAAAAAUAGUUUUGAUAUGUUUCGACAUUGGUACAAUGGCACAAUGAGAAUGUCAGAAACAUUACCCAACAAAACGAGAGUUCUAUGAAUUAACUUAAUAUUCCAUGCCAUUUCAUAAGAGCUAUACCUGUAUGUAGUGCAUACAGAAUGCCAGUUUUCUUAGAAACUCACUUCUUAUUCCUUCUCAGCAAUAACUCAUGGAUUGCCAAAAGCUGCUCGUUAACUGUUGCCUUAACAGGUAGAUAGUAUCAAAAGAAAACAGCUAUUACAUAUACAUCGUCUACAUCUUCUAAAUAAUAAUUAGUAGGGUGUAUGAAUCCUUCUUUGCUUUUUGGCUCAAAGCUUGCUUUCUGAGGCAUUUCUUGCAAUAAGACUCUGACUUAGAUGAAAGGUGGGUGUUGCCGUGUGGCAAUCAACAUCACUAUGUGAACAAUUUUACAUUUGAAAUCACCUUCCUCCAGAGCUGUUUGCCUCUGGAAGAGAGUGCUCAGGAGUGGUUACUGGCGGAAGAUCUGGCCUUUGACUAAAUAGCCCCAGCUUAGUAUGGGAAAACUGGGGAAUUAUACCAUCGUUUCCUGUGAAAAACAGGAUUCACGUGAGCAUACCUGCUCCCUCUUUUCUGCUGGCAAGGUCCGGAAGAUGGGAACAAAGGAGUUUCUGCUGAGAUCCCAGAGCCAGUAGCUGCCACUCCAAGGAGAGCUGACUCAACCACUUUGGACUUAUAAAUAAGUUUGUUCUGCCAUUGGAAAUUGGAAAUUGUUGCUGUGGUCACCAUAGUUGUCAACAGAAUAACAAUGCCCAACAACCCACCAGUACUGAAGAUCAAUGACAGAGCUACGAACCACGUUGGACUCAUGGUGGUGACUCUCUCCCUUUUGCUUCCUAUAAAGAAUCCCUGCUUCUAUUUCCUAUCUUUUCUAUCACCAUUCUUCCCUUCCCCUUCUCCCUGAAUGACUAGGAUUUGUAAUAAACUGGUC